CUGUACAUUUUAAUUUCGCGCGCCAAUUUUCUAUGUCCGCAGUCUCUUGCUCAAAUGUCGCCAAUAGUUCGGCAUUCUUACUUUCUUGCAAGGCUGAGAGCUGUUCAGCAGUUGCUAAUUUCUCUCGAAGUUGCUCAACAAGUUCGUCUCUUUCCAUAAUUUCUAUUUCUUUUUCGUCGAGAACAAAUUCUUUUUGUUCAAGUCUUUCUUGCGUGGCGACCAACGUGUGAUUCAACUCGUCAAUUAGUUUGUCCUAUUCGA